GUUUGCGAUUUUUUUCCCCUUGAGCCACUCAAGUUCGGAAAUUCCUUAUCAGGAUAGAAUGCCGGCAAAGGAUGUAUGUGGUCUUACAAACACAAACCAACGACAUACAGGAAACCCGAAAAUCAUGGGAUCAAAGUGAAAACAAGAAAUUAGCAGAGAGUACAACACAAAAGAAGAAAAAAACGGAAGAUAACAAAAGGUGGGCGUGAAGCGUAACAUAAUGAAAGGAAAAUUGCCAAAAUAAAUAAAGAAAAUAUUUGGCAAAAAUAACAGGCAAAGCAAAUAUGCCGCAAUGAAAAUCUAUUCAAGGAUCUCCUAGAAAUUUCGAACAAUAGCAGCAAAGUUAAUACUUUUAAAUAAAAGAACAUAAAACAAUGCCAUAGAGACCGAUUUUAUUAAAUUAAUAAACUGUAGGAUAAGUCCUUAAA